rnacentral:lncRNA from 1 species
UGUAUCAAUUGCAGUUCAUAUAUUGAAGAUGUAUAUAUUAGAUCGUUGGCGCUAACCAUUAAUCGCAAAAGCUCGAGCUGUUAGAAAUACGCAAGUAAUUCACUUAAAGCGUACAGAUACAAUACCCACGGGUCUCGAUUGUGACUCGGCCCAACCGGCCUCACGCCACUUCGAACCUGAUUCGGCCCAACCUAGCCUCACGCCAUUUCGAACAUGACUCGGCCCACACACGGCCUCUUGCCACAGGGUAGGAUGCUAGUCCAUUUAAGCCAACAAUCCCCCUCCAGCAUUUGGACAUAUUUGUAGUAUGCAUGAAUCGAACCCGUGGCCACUGGCUCUGAUACUAGUUGAUCAUUGGCGCUAAUCAUUAAUCCCAAAAACUCGAGCUAUUAGAAAUACGCAAUCAAUUCACUUAAAACCGUACAGAUAUAGCGCCCACUGGUUUCGAUUGUGACUCAGCCCAACCAGCUUCACGCCACUUCGAACAUGACUCGGUCCAACCUAGCCUCACAGCAUUUCGAACAUGACUCAGCUCACACAUAGCCUCUUGCUACAGGGCAGGAUGCUGGUCUAUUUAAGCUAACAGUAUAUAACCUUUGGAGCUUUUUUUUUUAGAGAAAAAAAGUGUACCAUCUGUUUUGUUUAUUUUUUUAUUUUUAUUUUUUUGAGAGAUAGGUAGCACGCUACCGUUUCGUUUAUUUCAUUUAGAAAUAAAAUUUAGCUAGAAAUGUGAAUCAACUAGGAUUCGAACUUGGGACCUCGGGUACCAACCACUGAGCCCUUUGCCACUUGCUUUAGGAACGGUCGGUGUUUCGUUUAUUUUUUUAGAAAUAAACUUAGCUAGAAGUGUGAAGCCACUAGAUUUCGAACUUGAAAUUUCGGGUAUACCAACCACCAAAUCCUUUAUCACUUGCACUGGGGACGGUCGGUGCUAGAUUGCAAUUUCAUGUCAAAAUUUGGCUUACAAUAUAGGAAUUGACUUUAGUAAUAAUUUUUAGGCUAAAUUACAGAAAACUCUUCUGUCAAAAUGUGAUUUUUCACUUCCCCCCCUGUCAUUUAAAAACCUACAUUUUGACCCCUUGUAGAAUGAAAAAUGCGCACUUUGUCCCCUACUGUUAGUGAUCCGUUAAGGUUCCGUUAUAAAAUAUUUUUUUAUACCAAAAUACCCCUCCGCCCUCUUCCCUAUUGCUUCGCCGCCUCACCGCCUCGCCUUCCUCUACUGCCUCGCCCUCGCCCACAUUCCCGUCCGCGCCCACAAACACCCCUUCACCCUCCUCCGCCACCUUGCCUUCGCCCUCGUUGCCGUUACCUACCUCGAUUUCCUCCCCCACCUCGAUUUCCACCCUACUGUCGCCGAAAUCGAGGGGCGGCGAGGGUGCAGGAGGAGAGGGGAGCAGGUGGAGAAGAAAAUAGAGAGAAAUCGCAGCGGAUUGAGGCGUAAACCGCAACUGAUCGAGGUUGCUAUUGAGGAAGAUGAUGGAGUAGACGACAAUGGUGCGGGGCAAAAUGGUCAGUUUAUCAUCACAGUACACACCGUACCCCUACUGUGAAUAUUUUUUAUUUUACAAGGGGGCAAAGUAUAGAUUUUUAAAUGAGAGAGGAGGAAAGUGAAAAAUCGAAUUUUGACGGGAGGUUUUAUGUAAUUUAGCCUAAUUUUUACUCUAUGAGUGUAAUAAUUAGAGUCAGUUUUAUUCAUAAA